UGGAGCUGUUCUGCCUGAAGCAGAAUGUGGCGGGACCUCACUCUGAAGCUCCUGGGAAUCCCUGCAGCACCUCCUCCCCCAGGGCUGCUCCUCAGGACUGCUUGGAAACAGCAGUCCUCAGGGGAUAAGAGUUUGAGCCCUGGUCCGUGAAGAUCCCACAUGCCGUGGAGCAACUAAGCCCCGUGUGCCACAACUACUGAGCCUGUGCUUUAGAGCCCGUGAGCCACAACUACUGAAGCCCGCGUGCCUAGAGCCUGUGCUCCGCAACAAGAGAAGCCACCGCCAUGAGAAGCCUGCGCACCACAACGAAGAGUAGCCCCUGCUCGCCACAACUGAAGAAAGCCCGCACGCAGCAAUGAAGACCCAACGCAGCCAAAAAUAAAUUAAUUAAUUAAAAAAAAAAA